CAGUAGCCGCGGUAACACGUAGGGUGCGAGCGUUAAUCGGAAUUACUGGGCGUAGAGCGUGCGCAGGCGGUUGUGUAAGACAGGUGUGAAAUCCCCGGGCUUAACCUGGGAACUGCGCUUGUGACUGCACAGCUAGAGUAUGGCAGAGGGGGGUGGAAUUCCACGUGUAGCAGUGAAAUGCGUAGAGAUGUGGAGGAACACCGAUGGCGAAGGCAGCCCCCUGGGCCAAUACUGACGCUCAUGCACGAAAGCGUGGGGAGCAAACAAGAUUAGAUACCCCCGUAGUCCCUGUCUCUUAUAC
rnacentral:rRNA from 1 species